rnacentral:rRNA from 1 species
GACGAACGCUGGCGGCGUGCUUAACACAUGCAAGUCGGACGGUCGGCACUGGAAGAUUCGCUGGAAGGUGCCGGUAGUGGCGGACGGGUGAGUAACGCGUGAGGACAUGGCUCCAGGAGGGGGAUAACGUUUGGAAACGGACGCUAAGACCCCAUGAGCCGGGAGGUAAAAGUGGCGCAAGCCAGCCUGGAGAGUGACUCGCGUCCUAUCAGCUGGUUGGUGGGGUGACGGCCCACCAAGGCGAUGACGGGUAGCCGACCUGAGAGGGUGGCCGGCCACACUGGAACUGAGACACGGUCCAGACUCCUACGGGAGGCAGCAGUGGGGAAUAUUGCACAAUGGGCGAAAGCCUGAUGC